rnacentral:rRNA from 1 species
GGCCAAGUUUUUAAGGGCGCACGGUGGAUGCCUUGGCACCAGGAACCGAUGAAGGACGUGGGAGGCCGCGAUAGGCCCCGGGGAGCUGUCAACCGAGCUUUGAUCCGGGGGUGUCCGAAUGGGGAAACCCGGCAGUCGUCAUGGGCUGUCACCCGCUGCUGAACACAUAGGCAGUGUGGAGGGAACGCGGGGAAGUGAAACAUCUCAGUACCCGCAGGAAGAGAAAACAACCGUGAUUCCGGGAGUAGUGGCGAGCGAAACUGGAUGAGGCCAAACCGUAUUGGUGUGAUACCCGGCAGGGGUUGCCAGUGCGGGGUUGUGGGAAUGAGCUUCAGUCGUCUGCCGGCGGCUGGGCGAGUCAGAAACCGUUGAUGUAGGCGAAGGACAUGCGAAAGGUCCGGCGUAGAGGGUAAGACCCCCGUAGCUGAAACAUUAGCGGCUUGCUUGCUCAUCUCCCAAGUAGCACGGGGCCCGUGAAAUCCCGUGUGAAUCUGGCGGGACCACCCGUUAAGCCUAAAUAUUCCCUGGUGACCGAUAGCGGAUAGUACCGUGAGGGAAUGGUGAAAAGUACCGCGGGAGCGGAGUGAAAUAGUACCUGAAACCGUGUGCCUACAAGCCGUGGGAGCGUCGGAACAAGGCUUGCCUUGUUCUCGUGACUGCGUGCCUUUUGAAGAAUGAGCCUGCGAGUUAGCGGUGUGUAGCGAGGUUAACCCGUGUGGGGAAGCCGUAGCGAAAGCGAGUCCGAAGAGGGCGUUUGAGUUGCACGCUCUAGACCCGAAGCGGAGUGAUCUAGCCAUGGGCAGGUUGAAGCGGAGGUAAGACUUCGUGGAGGACCGAACCCACCAGGGUUGAAAACCUGGGGGAUGACCUGUGGUUAGGGGUGAAAGGCCAAUCAAACUCCGUGAUAGCUGGUUCUCCCCGAAAUGCAUUUAGGUGCAGCGUCGUGUGUUUCUUGCCGGAGGUAGAGCACUGGAUAGGCGAUGGGCCCUACCGGGUUACUGACCUUAGCCAAACUCCGAAUGCCGGUAAGUGAGAGCGCGGCAGUGAGACUGUGGGGGAUAAGCUCCAUGGUCGAGAGGGAAACAGCCCAGAGCAUCGACUAAGGCCCCUAAGCGUGUGCUAAGUGGGAAAGGAUGUGGAGUCGCAGAGACAACCAGGAGGUUGGCUUAGAAGCAGCCAUCCUUGAAAGAGUGCGUAAUAGCUCACUGGUCAAGUGAUUCCGCGCCGACAAUGUAGCGGGGCUCAAGUACACCGCCGAAGUCGUGUCAUUGCAGCAUGUACCCCUAACGGGGGCUGUGAUGGGUAGGGGAGCGUCGUGUGCCGGGUGAAGCAGCCGUGGAAACGAGUUGUGGAUGGUUCACGAGUGAGAAUGCAGGCAUGAGUAGCGAUACAAGAGUGGGAAACUCUUGCGCCGAUUGACUAAGGGUUCCUGGGUCAAGCUGAUCUGCCCAGGGUAAGUCGGGACCUAAGGCGAGGCCGACAGGCGUAGUCGAUGGACAACCGGUUGAUAUUCCGGUACCCGCUUUGAAGCGCCCAAUAUCGAAUCAGGCGAUGCUAAGUCCGUGAAGCCGCCCUGAUCUCUUCGGAGUUGAGGGGAGUGGUGGAGCCGACGGACCAGACUUGUAGUAGGUAAGCGAUGGGGUGACGCAGGAAGGUAGUCCAGCCCGGGCGGUGGUUGUCCCGGGGUAAGGGUGUAGG